rnacentral:lncRNA from 1 species
ACCGUGCAAAAAAGAAAUAGUGGCUGCCCGGGGGGGGUCCCGAGGAGCCCAGUGUGUCGGGGCCGUGGGAGGGGCGGUGGGGGCUACGCGGGGGUCUCAGCGGCGCGGCUCUCCGUCUCGCCGUCGCUGGUGGGGCUGCGGGAGGAGCGCUCCGUGCUCUCUGUGGCAUCCAGCUCCUCGUCCCAUCGGUCGUAGGAGAAGGGUUUCCGGCAGCUCGGGGGGCUGCUGCUGCCCUUCAGGCUGCCAUCAUCUGAGAGCGCUUUGGAAGAGCCUUUGUUCUUGGACAGCCACGACUUCACCCCGUC